AAGAUCCCAUCUCGGGGAUGGCGAGUGCGAGGUGAUGCAGUGUCUGCUCCGGUGAAGUUCCCCAGGCUGUGCGAGGAAAGAAGAUCUGUCCUGUCCAAAGCCAGGAAGGAGGCAUCUCCCCAGCUUUUGCUGCACCUCUGUACCUGCUCUUGUGCCAGCUGCGUGAGGGGGAAGGAGAAGCAGCAGAGGUUUCGUAAUGAGCACAUUGAUCUUGGCCAUGGAAAGAGCCCGCGCUGCCUGCUGGAGCCAGCUCGGU
rnacentral:lncRNA from 1 species